UAACUAACCCCUUCGACCUUCCACCUUAGAAAAACAAAAGAGGCUCAAUUUUAAAAAAACAAACAAAACACUUGUGGUAUUUUUGCUGUUCUUAAAAAUAAAGUGUUUCAAGUGACACAGUAUGCUUUGCGUUCUCACAGGACUGACACUCUUAUUUUUAUUUCUUUCUUUUUUUUCAAAUGUCAAUUUCCAUCUUAAAAUGCAAAGACCGAACGAUGCGUGGGUUGAAAAUACAGCUUGAUGAUGACAUUCCGGGAGCCUCCGCUCCAGUGGGGGGCAGUGUGGGGCUUUUUGAGUCAUCCUCUCCGGGCUGUAGCUUAAACCCCCCCCCCCUGCUCGGAUCAUAGCAGCACUGCAGGGAGACAUGCCGGCGCUGUGAUCAUUACAUCGGAGGGUGGGGGGGUGGGGGGCGAGCGAGCCGAGGGCAAGACGGGAGGCGUACGAUGCAAUGCAGCAGGCCGCACGGAGGAAGACCGCGCUGACAUUUAUUCCGCAGCUGAGGGCGCCUGCCGCUUAGAGGCGGGGAGUCGCAGAGGCCGCUAGAAAGCGAUUAGCUCCAAACCUCCCGUUCCCUCCACACAAACCGCAGUGCGAUGCUUUCUGCGGUCAAAACAGAAAUGAACCUGGGACUUUUUGGGACAAGCACAGUCUUGCGGGGGUCUCCCUUCCACCAUGAAAGCCUAAAUGACCCCCGAAGGUGUUUUAAAUGUGAGGUCUUCAAUUUGCCCCAAGUGCUCUUAACAAGGAAAAUCCCAUCUCUAUAUUCAGUACCAAAAAAAAAACUAGUUAGGUGACCACUUUUCAAACAGUUACUUGAAGAUCAUUCCUAUGUGAUGACUACAAAAAUAAGCCACGGAGCAAAAAGUGGAAGAAAUGACCGUAUUUUUGCCCCCUAAAACCGAACGACCUUUAUUUACUACCGUGUUUUUGUUUUUUUAAAUCAUAAAUGGUUUUUAAACUCAGCUCGUGGUCCAUGUCAAAGGUCAUUGUUAGUGUUUACUUAUUUAUUUUUGGCCAUGUCGCGGGCCGCAGAAAAAUGGAUGGCGGGCCGCAGAUGGCCCCCGGGCCGCAGUUGUUUUAGUCUUCUCUUGAUGUUUUUUUUUUAAGACCACGCAGAGACAGACACCUUGUGUUCCCUACAAGGGGGUUCAGUGUUUAUUCAUCGUCAGGACUUGAUGCAUCCAAGUUCAGAAUCAUUCAGUUUUGGCACCUUGAAAGACAUUACGCUUGUUCCGUUUUGUUUUGUUUUCUGUUUCUUUGAAAUCGUCAUUUACAACAAUACAAUGCAAGAACCAAAGGACAAGAAAACCCC